CACAUACUACCUCCGUCCGGAAAUAAUUGUCAUCAAAAUGAAUAAAAGAGGAUGUAUCUAGAUGUAUAUUAGUUCUAGAUACAUCCUUUUUUAUCCAUUUUGAUGACAAGUAUUUUCAGACGGAGGGAGUACGUA
rnacentral:pre_miRNA from 1 species